UAAGGUCUUUUAUGGGCCUAGUUUUAUAAUAUAAGGUUAGCCCAUUUAAAUUCCUACUUUCUUCAAAGGUGGAGACCGGAGAUUCGUCGCCGGAGAGUGAAGCUUCCGAGAGGAGCAGGAGAAAUGGGAGAUGGAAGAGAAGGAGAUUGGGAGUGUUUAGGUUGCAAUAACAGGAACUACGCGUUUCGAUCAUUCUGCAACAGAUGCAAGCAGCCUCGUCUUUUCAUGGACAACAAUACCUCUCAGAACUCCAAGUGGCUUCCUCGUAUCGGUGAUUGGAUCUGCACUGGUUGCACUAACAACAAUUAUGCAUCACGAGAAAAGUGUAAGAAGUGCGGACAACCAAAGGAAGUAGCAGCUUCUCUUCAGAGUCAUCUCAGUUACUUCGCCCUUGGACCUGAUCCAGUCGACCAACUUGGUUCUUUACUCCCUUUCUCUAAUCAAGCUUUGGCUCUUAAAGAGUGGAGGAGCGGUGACUGGAUCUGCACAUGUGGGUUUCACAAUUAUUCCUCUCGUAUACAGUGCAAAAAGUGCAAUGAAACAGCUCCACUAGCAUUUGGAACGAAGAGAUUAGCAUCAGAAGUUUUGGCUCAUGAAUGGGAUAGCAAAAGAUUGAACCAAGGAUAUGUGAGCAUUAACAAGCAUGCAACAACAGUCAUCGUUUCCUGGUAUAAGCUCAGGCAGUUUCUCAAACUGGCAACUUCCUCUCCUGUUUCAACAGCAACAGUUAACACCUGCUUUACUUGGAAAGGGAGCAAAACAAUGGCGUGAUGGAGACUGGAUGUGCACAAACUGCAAGAAUCACAAUUAUGCAUCUCGAUCAGAGUGCAAUAGGUGCAAGACUAAACGAGAUAUCAUUGAGCAAGCCAUAACUCCGGCACAAUCUUGAAGAAUCAAGAAGAGUGUUCUUUUACUGUCAUUACAAAAAUACUCAGUAUCUCAACCUUGUUUGAUUUGGGUACACAUUACUCUGAAACUGGCAUGAAUAUAAAGCCUCAAAAUGUUUUAUAACAGAGAAAGCGAAAAGCUUGUUUAGCCCUUCAAGAUGUUUUUAGGAUCAA